rnacentral:snoRNA from 1 species
ACCCUCCAGACUUUUACUCAUCUGAUCUAAACAUUGGUCUGAGUGGCUGUAAAAGGAGGAAAAGUAAAACUGAAACAGACUUGGAUUCUUGUAACAUACAAUUUGUUUUCAAACUGUG